rnacentral:rRNA from 1 species
GACGAACGCUGGCGGCGUGCUUAACACAUGCAAGUCGAACGGAAAGGCCCUGCUUUUGUGGGGUGCUCGAGUGGCGAACGGGUGAGUAACACGUGAGUAACCUGCCCUUGACUUUGGGAUAACUUCAGGAAACUGGGGCUAAUACCGGAUAGGAGCUCCUGCUGCAUGGUGGGGGUUGGAAAGUUUCGGCGGUUGGGGAUGGACUCGCGGCUUAUCAGCUUGUUGGUGUGGUAGUGGCUUACCAAGGCUUUGACGGGUAGCCGGCCUGAGAGGGUGACCGGCCACAUUGGGACUGAGAUACGGCCCAGACUCCUACGGGAGGCAGCAGUGGGGAAUAUUGCACAAUGGGCGGAAGCCUGAUGCAGCAACGCCGCGUGCGGGAUGACGGCCUUCGGGCUGUAAACCGCUUUCGCCUGUGACGAAGCGUGAGUGACGGUAAUGGGUAAAGAAGCACCGGCUAACUACGUG